rnacentral:lncRNA from 1 species
CCGGACGAAGAGCUCGACAUGAUGCAGAUGUCUCUUCUGAUGAAUCACGCCAGCGGAAAUCUUCUUCCUCUGCUUCAGCAGGAGAGGGACCUCCACCUAAGCCACCUCGUCGCCAGGGAGGCUGGGCGGAAGACACCAGCGGCGCAGGUUUCUGCGAAGUCCGGGAGACGACAAGCCGCCGCCGCAGCAGAAGAAGAGGAGGACCAGCGUCUGAGGCCGCAGACGCCACAGGAGUCCGAUGAUGAAGGAGGUGAGUGGAGCAGCGUGACCUCCUCUGUGACCUGUUAUCUGGUGACCCAAGCAACUCAGUUCCCCAAGAAAAGGGCAUUUAUGAACAAAUAUAUUCAGCAUGUAUACAGGAUGUGUUGUAUAUAUUUGUGCAUAAUUACUAAUGUUCAUACUAUAGCCCUGGUGCUCUGUUAUUGUAUUAAAUGGAUGGUAGUAGCCUAGUGGGUAACACACUCGCCUAUGAACCAGAAGACCCAGGUUCAAAUCCCACUUACUACCAUCGUGUCCCUGAGCAAGACACUUAACCCUGAGUGUCUCCAGGGGGGGGACUGUCCCUGUAACUAAUGACUAAGUCGCUCUGGAUAAGGGCGUCUGAUAAAUGCUGGAAAUGCUAUGCAGUUAUUAAUUAGCCGGCCUUUUUUACCGGACCCGGACAGACAGAGACAGCCCUUCGCUGCUGGGAUGCGGCCGGUCGGGGCCAUUUGGCCCUCAGAUCGCCGAUGACACGGAGCGGGGGGCCCGACCCCGCCCCCUCACUCAGUCCUGGCUUCACCUCCACUCGGCCCGGUUCCGGCGUGGCGUGGCGGCGUUAAUUGGCGGGGAGUUAUGGGACCGUUGGUGGUGGUGGUGGUGGUGGGGGGGUGGUGUUCGAAGCGGGGUGCCACGCGAG